GUGGGGAAUAUUGGACAAUGGGCGCAAGCCUGAUCCAGCCAUGCCGCGUGAGUGGUGAAGGCCCUAGGGUUGUAAAGCUCUUUCAGUGGGGACGAUAAUGACGGUACCCACAGAAGAAGCCCCGGCUAACUUCGUGCCAGCAGCCGCGGUAAUACGAAGGGGGCUAGCGUUGUUCGGAUUUACUGGGCGUAAAGCGCACGUAGGCGGAUCGUUAAGUCGAGGGUGAAAUCCUGGAGCUCAACUCCAGAACUGCCUUCGAUACUGGCGAUCUUGAGUCCGGAAGAGGUGAGUGGAACUCCUAGUGUAGAGGUGGAAUUCGUAGAUAUUAGGAAGAACACCAGUGGCGAAGGCGGCUCACUGGUCCGGUACUGACGCUGAGGUGCGAAAGCGUGGGGAGCAAACAGGAUUAGAAACCCCGGUAGUCC
rnacentral:rRNA from 1 species